rnacentral:rRNA from 1 species
GACGAACGCUGGCGGCGUGCUUAACACAUGCAAGUCGAACGGAAAGGCCCUGCAUUUGUGGGGUGCUCGAGUGGCGAACGGGUGAGUAACACGUGAGUAACCUGCCCUUGACUUUGGGUUAACUUCAGGAAACUGGAGCUAAUAUCCGAUAGGAGCUUCUGCUGCAGGGUGGGGGUUGGAAAGUUUCGGCGGUUGGGGCUGGACUCGCGGCUUAUCAGCUUGUUGGUGGGGUAGUGGCUUACCAAGGCCUUGAGGGGUAGUGGGCAUGAGAGGGUGACCGGCCACAAUGCGACUGAGAGACGGACCAGAGUGCUACGGUGGGCAGCAGUGGGGAAUCUUGCACAGUGAGCGGAAGCCUGAGACAGAGGCCCCGGGGUCGGGAUGUCCUCCUUCGCGUUAUGAACCGCUUCCGCCUGUGACGAAGCGUGAGUGACGGUAAUGGAUAAAGAAGCACCGGCUAACUACGUG